CUACGGGGUGCUCCAGGCGAGAAAACUUUGCAAUGUGCGAAAGCACGACAAGGUUAAUCCGAGUGGUUUCUGCUAAAGGAACCUUUUGUCGGUCCUAGAAACACCGAUGAAUAAGGGGUGGGCAAGUUCUGGUGUCAGCCGCCGCGGUAAAACCAGCACCUCAAGUUGUCAGGAUGAUUAUUGGGCCUAAAGCAUCCGUAGCCGGCUCUGUUAGUUUUCGGUUAAAUCUGUAUGCUCAACAUACGGGCUGCCGGGAAUACUGCAGAGCUAGGGAGUGGGAGAGGUAGACGGUACUCGGUAGGAAGGGGUAAAAUCCUUUGAUCUAUUGAUGACCACCUGUGGCGAAGGCGGUCUACCAGAACACGUCCGACGGUGAGGGAUGAAAGCUGGGGGAGCAAACCGGAUUAGAUACCCGGGUAGUC
rnacentral:rRNA from 1 species